rnacentral:rRNA from 1 species
CCUACGGGUGGCAGCAGUGAGGAAUAUUGGUCAAUGGGCGCGAGUCUGAACCAGCCAAGUCGCGUGAGGGAUGAAGGUUCUAUGGAUCGUAAACCUCUUUUAUAAGGGAAUAAAGUGUGGGACGUGUCCUAUUUUGUAUGUACCUUAUGAAUAAGGAUCGGCUAACUCCGUGCCAGCAGCCGCGGUAAUACAGAGGAGCCGAGCUUUGUCCGGAGUUAUAGGGUUUAAAGGGUGCGUAGGGGGCCUUUUAAGUCAGCGGUGAAAUUCUGUGGCUCAACCAUAGAAUUGCAGUUGAAACUGGGGGGCGUGAGUAUGUUUGAGGCAGGCGGAAUGCGUGGUGGAGCGGUGAAAUGCUUAGAUAUCACGCAGAACCCCGAUUGCGAAGGCAGCCUGCCAAGCCAUGACUGACGCUGAUGCACGAAAGCGUGGGGAUCAAACAGGAUUAGAUACCCGGGUAGUC